UGGCUCCAUCAAUGCCUUCGAGAAGGGGGGAGUGCAGUACAUAUAUGGAGUACUCUCUCUUGGUAAACUAUCCACCAGCACCAGCUUCCGCCUUAAGUUGUCUUCUCUCUCCCUGGAGGAUUGAAUCGUGAUUAGUACUAUAGACUAUAGGCUACCCGUUGAACUCAAACUCCUGGAAGGGGAGGGCGCCAACUCAACCUACUGGUGGUUGGCCCGUAAUUUUUGUCUUUAGUUCAAGUACGAUUCGGGACACCGUGGAAGUUACGGAAUCCCGCUUGUCCGCUCCCGUACACAUCUUUUCAACAAUGCUCGAGACUAUUGCCGAGAUAUUUGACAUUAUCGUCGGCAAUACCAUAACCACCAUGCCUGCACCAUUUUUUGCAGGCAUAGUCCACGUGGCUAUCGAAUUUCAUCUUGUCAUCGAUUAUGACCCCAGCCCCAAUUGCUUCAGUGGGCGCUUGAAAUUGAUCGUGCACUCGCCUUUUUUUUUGUUCUAAGCCAUAGGGGGGAGAUCUGCUCAACAGACACCCGAACAGGAAGGUUCGGGUAGUGUGGGGUUAAAGCCGUCUUCAACAACAAAAGGAAAAGCCAGGACUACUCUCUCCUCGACCCACUACACACAUUCCUAUGGUCGCCAAACCAUCCAAGCGUCUCUCCAGAACCACCAAGAAGGCACUGCUUCAGAGAGGGGCUAGUGCACAUCGCACCCUCAAGGUUAGCUGCGUAGCCUGCAGCAACGAACAUCUAUGGAGAGUUUGUCAAGAUAGCAUCUGGCGCUAAUCCAAUUUCUCGAGUGGUCCUCACCACUCCCUUUGUCCUUGGAAGGCGGGCAGGGUCAACCCCACACCCGUGCCCAACUGUUUUGCAGGCAUCAUGAACUGAUGCCUACAGCGAGCAGGAUCUGAGGAGGAGCGAAACGAACGGCGGGUGGUAUUCGCCGCUGCAAAAGCCGCGCUGAAGACCUAGAUUAUGACUAGCAAAAAUGCCUGCUUUGAGGCACUUAGUCUCUGUCAGAGUGCCAAUGCGAAUCCGUGGGGUGAUGCCUACAUUGUGAUCAUGAUGGCCAAGACGAGAGGUGUAAUAGAAGCCAUCUCCAGAGAAGUUGAAGGGGAUCAUCGAGAGGCUUUUCCUCGUCAUGAUCCUAGGCCUCCUUUCGUAGGACAGCCGGGGACUGGGGCUGGCGAUGAGGAGAGGGUCACCGAUGUGGAACUUGCGUAGGCGUAUAGGAAAGGCCCCAGGUCCGGACGGAGUUCCGAACCUGUGUUACGUUUUAGUAUAUUCUGUUGUAAAUUGGCACAAUUACAUUCAUAAUCAGUUAAACUAGCCACACUCGGAGGAAAAGCAAACCCUCAAAUAAUGCCCACUCGAACUUACAUGCCAACCGCCAAUUUAAAUUGCACCCCGUUAGACCGACAAACGCUUAUGCCGACAAGCCCGACGCUGCUGUCAAUCAAGCAAAGCGGCGCGACGAACGCCGCCAACACACAUACUGCUGCAUCGGGUUCAGAAAACACAAAACUUCUGAUCUGCCGCCACGUCACCCAGUGAUGCCACAUACACAGAUUUAGCUAGAAUUACACAGAUUUUUUCCCAUUUUCGCCUACAGAUAUCUGUGAUCACAGAUCAAAGAUUUUUGCAAUAAAAAAGAUUUUAAAGAUUUUUAAAUCUAUGACAAUGACUUUCGUGAAAAAAAGCUUCAUUAUAAUUUUCAGGUACUCAAAUUUAAAUAAUAGAAAUUAAAUCUUCUAGUUUGAUGGGCUAAGCCAUGCCUCAGGCGCAUUGUUAUCGACGUUCUUGUGGUUUCUGAUGAUCUUCAGAUGCAACCUGGGAGUGUUUUGGUCGACGUUAUUCUAAGAACAUAUGUUUUCCGUUGUUUUUUAAACAAAUUAUUCAAAAAUAUUCGAUUUUGGAGACAUUAACCUAUCACAGAUUUUUACUAAGAUUUUCUGAAAUUUCCUACAGAUGAAAAAGAUUUUUUUGACCAAAAUCACAGAUGAAAACUGAAAAAAUGUGGCAACACUGACGUCACCGCAAAGCAUCACUCCACAAAAGUUGUUCGAUAGUGUCGGGUGUGCUCAUCGUGUGUGGAUCGUUUAGCAUCCACGAACAAGUAGAGAAGGCGAAAAUCAAAGACGGUUAGGUUGAGAGGUCGAGCAGAACCACACGGGAACGGUUGCCGUGUCCCAUACGGCACGGUGAAGCACGGACGACACGCCUGGCAUCGAACAAUCGACAAAAGCACACUCUGGAUCGCCACGUGUCUGGAAAGAAACGAAGCUCUCAAUCGAUCCGAAGCAGCAGGCCAAACGGUGCGGACAGCACGAGAAUAAUCAAAAACCCCUCUGGGGUUUUUAUGUCGCACUGGAUUGCGUCACACCAUCGCUUUUCGGAGGCGGUAAUCACCGGCCAAGGUGCACGCAAGGCCAGGCAGCUUCGAUCGGACCAGCAGACCGGAAUCAGUUCCCUCGGACGGAUCAGCGGAAGCAGGAGCUACAGUUCGGAAAAAGAGCACUCUCGGCUGCCAUCACCCGAGAAAGGAUCGCCGACAGGCGGCUUCGGAAGAGACCUACGAACACAGGGCAUCGCUGUUGAAGUGAGGUUAUGCUCCGGAUGUAACAUCACGGGAAGAAGGCCGUCGGUUCAGAACUGCGAGUGCGAAAGGCGUCGGAAAGAGGCACGUUCCGAAGAGUGCCGGAUUCGAGCGAAGCGUCGAGAGGAACAAACACGGUGCUGGGCAGAUAUCACGGGUGACGUGGCGCAGUGAGGAGAAGCACGUUUGCCGAAUGUGCUCGGUUGGCGACGGCGGGCAGGAAGAACCAAAGUGUGGAAUGUGACUUUGGUACCGUGAGUACCCGCUAGAUUUAAGUAAAAAUGAGAGGAUAAAGGUAGCGUCAGGUCGUUAGGAGUUAGUGCAGCAGGAGAGCAGGAUGAUUUCUGCAAAAUAUAUGUGUGGAAAAAUGUGAUUAUGCCUUUUGAUUAGUUGGUGCGAUAGCCCUCCAGUGUCUGUGCCCUUUUGCUCUUUGGUUAGUCGCUCUACCGAGCCGGGAAUUUCACAACACCUGGCCUUAGAAGUAGCUAUUGCAGAGGCUCCCGAGAUGUUCAGGUCUGCUAUGCAGAUAUGCCUGGGCAAGGGAGUUUCCCAGAAGUAUGGAAGAGGCAGAGCCUGGUUCUAUUGCCAAUGGCGGGGAAUCCACCCGUGAGACCCGUCGGCAUAUAGACCAAUAUGCUUGAUCACACGGCGAGGAAGGUACUCGAAAAGAUCAUCCUCAGAAGAAUGUUGCGGCGCACCGAGAGUGUAAAUGAUCUCUUGAGUAGCCAGUACGGCUUCCGGAAGAGGAGGUCGACCGUAGACGCUAUCCUGUCGGUUACAAAAACCGCCGGGAAAGCACUUGAGUGUAAGAGAAGGGGGAUUCGCUACUGUGCAGUAAUAACUCUGGAUGUAAGGAACGCGUCUAAUAGCGCAUGUUGGCGAGUUAUUGCCAAUGCGCUCCUGCAUCUGGUAAUACCCGGGUACCUGUACAAGAUUCUUGGAAGCUACUUCCAGAAUCGAGUACUAGUUUACGACACAGGGGUGGGUCGGAAGUGCUUGCACAUAACCUCAGGAGUCCUGCAAGGUUCCAUCCUGGGUCCGGUGUUAUAAGAUGUCAUGCACGACGAGAUGUUGAGGUUAGAGGUCGGGGUGGAAGUGGAGAUUGUCGGCUUUGCUGACGACGUUACGCUCGAAGUCUACGGCGAAUCGAUCGAAGAAGAGGAGUUGACUACUCGACUACCACUCGAUCAAGGUUGUGGAGACGUGGAUGAGGUCCAGGAAAUGGCGGCCCGGCUUGGGGCGCGGCGCUAAGUACCAAAAGCUAGCUGGAAAGUACUUAUAGGCUAAUGUGCCUGAGGGUUGCUAGCGUGUACCGUACCGUGUCACACGAUGCACUCUGCGUCAUCACUGCACCUGCGCUGCUGUAGAUACUUGUUGUGGCAAAGUUAUUUAACUGCGCUACUGCCAGUGAAUAGAAUUGUCAGACAAAAGAGGCACAAAACAAGCAACAAAGAAGGCGCGACGAUUACUCUUUAUCUCUAUUGGUAACAGAUAAUGACAUGAUCUCGAUUUUUUUUUUGUUGCAGACAAAACAGAAGCUGGAUUUGUUGCGUACUUUUCAACUCGUGAAUAAUCAAUUAUUACUAACCCAAAGUCGAAACUGUUUGAUGAUAGAGCUUCACCAGGGUUGCAGUGUUCACCGACUCGAAGUUACCGUUCGAAAAUUGCAAUAUAAGGCAUAAAAAUCUCUAAAUUCGUGGUGUACGAUGUUUAUCCUAUUAUUUUCAAGUUGGGACAAAGAUAUGUCGCAUUUGGUGGAUUGUCGCAACAAAUGCAGGUUGCGACAUUAUCAUUAUUGUUGCGCGAUGGUUGAAUUUUGAUUCACUGGCUACUGCACAAGUGUACAAAUCUACACUUGACGAAGCAUCGAUUCAAGUCGGAUUUCACCCACAAUGUACUUCAUCACAAUCGUGGUGUUGGGAUUGAGUGUAGGGCUCUCACACACAGGCUUCCGGUUCGAAUCCGGCGGGCAUCACAUUUUUUU